rnacentral:rRNA from 1 species
CAGCCGCCACGGUAAUACGGAGGGUGCAAGCGUUAAUCGGAAUUACUGGGCGUAAAGCGCACGCAGGCGGUCUGACAAGUCAGAUGUGAAAUCCCCGGGCUCAACCUGGGAACUGCCUUUGUGACUGCAAGGCUAGAGUACGGCAGAGGGGGAUGGAAUUCCGCGUGUAGCAGUGAAAUGCGUAGAUAUGCGGAGGAACACCGAUGGCGAAGGCAAUCCCCUGGGCCUGUACUGACGCUCAUGCACGAAAGCGUGGGGAGCAAACAGGAUUAGAUACCCCCGUAGUCCCUGUCUCUUAUAC